GCCUGCGGUUUAAUUUGACUCAACACGGGAAACCUCACCAGGCCCGGACACUGGAAGGAUUGACAGAUUGAGAGCUCUUUCUUGAUUCGGUGGGUGGUGGUGCAUGRCCGUUCAUAGUUGGUGGAUCGAUUUGUCUGGUUAAUUCCGAUAACGAACGAGACUCUAGCCUGCUAACUAGGCGAUACCGGCAUCCUUGGCGCAGCCGGCGACAAACAAUCUUCUUAGAGGGACAGGCAGCUUCUAGCUGCACGAGACUGAGCAAUAACAGGUCUGUGAUGCCCUUAGAUGUUCUGGGCAGCACGCGCGCUACACUGAAGGGAUCAGUGUGUGUUUUCCUUGCCCGAGAGGGCCGGGUAACCCGCUGAACCUCCUUCGUGCUAGGGAUUGGGGCUUGCAAUUGUUCCCCACGAACGAGGAAUUUCCAGUAAGCGUGAGUCAUAAGCUCACGUUGAUUACGUCCCUGCCCUUUGUACACACCGCCCGUCGCUACUACCGAUUGAAUGAUUUAGUGAGGUCUUCGGACCAGUGCGCGGCUUCCUCGCGGUGGCCGUAGCAACGGAAAGAUGACCGAACUUGAUUA
rnacentral:rRNA from 1 species